rnacentral:lncRNA from 1 species
UCAUCACCAUCACUUCUCCCCUAGAGGUGUCAUCGCCAUCCCAAACUCUGAAAAACAACUCUGACUUCGCCAAAGGCGAUCAUCAAACCAACCCACCCUGAAUAGGCCGUGCGGAAUCACAUGAAGAUCCACAUCGGACCUCAGCCACUACAACAAGAAAGCACAGCUCUAACACCAACAGAGAGCUACGAAUGAACCAAGCAGCUGUGAAGUCGAAGCUACAGUGGCAGGGCCCGGUGGCAUAUGCUGACGAGUAGGUGGUCCGUUCGGUGAUCUUCCUCAACACGUAGUAUGACUUCAGUGCACACGACACAGUAUAUGCCCCCAUGGAGACCGACAACAGAACAACAGUUCCACAAGCAUGAGCACACUUGAAUUCAGGUGAGAGUGUGACCACUCCCAUUCCUGUCACGUAGAAAGAAGAAAACUCCCGUUUCGUACAGAAAUUCCAUGAGAAGCAAAAUGGCGUCACGUCGUAUUAUUUGUAUUCUUCGUUCUACGAAUCAGCAAAACCAGAUCACGACUCGGACACGAUUCACAUGGAGCACCUAUCUCACGCUUUUUCGACGCUGUAGCCAGGCUGCCUCUCUUCCUCAUCACUUAUUUAAGACGCCUGUCUGGGUUAAAAAAUCGUGACCGAACAAUGACCGGCGGUAUGUAAGGCCUUCCACAGCGUAGCCGGUGCCAAAUACAUCAAAAGGCAGCCACCUCAUCACCGGUGCCCAAAAUUGCUUUUCAGGCAUCGAUCUCACAACGUAGGGCUUCGGCAGGAAAAAGAUUUUGGGACCCAUAUGAUAAACAAGUACACCACGCUGCUGUGUAUUGAGCAAAGAGAGAGAAGACAUUCGCUGUUCAAAGUUGAGAGUUAAUAGUAUUUUAUUGGCUGGAGGAAUUGGGCAUCGUGUUCUUACUUGCUCCGAUGCCAUGAAAAUUUUGUUGGGGCACCGGCCUCACAACGUGAGGGCACCGGCUAUCGGAGCCAGAAGUUAAUUUGGCACCUCUUUUGGCCUACAUAAUGGAAGGUCUAAGAGGUGGGUUUGAGAGAUCGGUUGUAGAUGCUCUUAAUAAGCUAGUACUAGAAGAAGAACAUGUAUAGGGGAGGAAGGGGACAUAAGUGAAUCCCGAACGAAAGCACGUACCUGCGGGUGAUGGCCGAGUCAAGAAACACGGUCGACGUUCGUGAUCGAGUUGGCGCCGUGCCGGAGCUAAUUCAAGGGAAUGCCGCCGCCUUCCAACCGGAGACGAGACUGUAUUAUGUGGCUGACAACCUGCGCAGCUUUCAAACAUGGUGGCUCCUUUUGGAAAAGGCUCGGAGUGGAGACCCCAACCGUGUCACUCGUGUCAUACAUAUGCACCUUACAAAGGGCUGCGAGCUUUACUACACAGAUGUGUUGGGUGUUCAUUUGGUUUUAACAAAUUUGAGACCUUAUCUUUUUUUUGUUGGGUUUGCAGCUUUUAUGUCAUUUUAAAUACAUAUGUGUAUGCUGUCAAUACACUAUAGAUUAACAUACACUAGUGUCAAAAACGCUUUUAUAUUAUAAAACGGAGGGAGUAGUCUGAUUUUCUCAACACGUAAGGGCUUCUUUGAUUCAAAGGAAUUGCAUAGGAUUUUUGGAGGAUUUGAAUCCUUAGGAAUUUUUCCUGUGAUGCUCGUUUGAUUCGUAGGAUUGGCAUCCUUAGGAAUUUUUCCAUAGGAUCCAUUUGUACUACAUUUUGGAGGAAAAUUUGCAUCCACUGAAACCUCUUUGUAGGAUUCCUUUGUUUUUCCUGCGCUAUCAAACAUUCUUUGAGAUCCUGUAGGAUACUAUGGGACAUGUCAUCCUAUUCCUGCAUUUUUCCUAUUCCUUCAUUUUGACAAUCCUGCGAAUCAAAGAGGCCCUAAAUUUUUUUUUAAACGGAGGCAAAAGAUUUGGCUCAUUCAUUAAUUAAGCAGAAAAGAACUGCCCAGUUAAUUAAUGAAAAACCAGGCGAAAAUCAUCACAAACUACUGAGUGACACCAAUGAAAGACCUACACGCGCCACUCACAAGAGGGCCUCGUCAAGACUGCACGUCGACAUCAUCGCCAUCACUUCUCCCCUAGAGGCAUCAUUGCCAUCCCAAACUAUGAGAAACGACUCCAACUUCACCUCAAGAGGGCCUCGUCAAGACCGCACCUCGAGCGUCAUCACCAUCAUUUCUCCCCUAGAGGUGUCAUCGCCAUCCCAAACUCUGAAAAACAACUCUGACUUCGCCAAAGGCGAUCAUCAAACCAACCCACCCUGAAUAGGCCGUGCGGAAUCACAUGAAGAUCCACAUCGGACCUCAGCCACUACAACAAGAAAGCACAGCUCUAACACCAACAGAGAGCUACGAAUGAACCAAGCAGCUGUGAAGUCGAAGCUACAGUGGCAGGGCCCGGUGGCAUAUGCUGACGAGUAGGUGGUCCGUUCGGUGAUCUUCCUCAACACGUAGUAUGACUUCAGUGCACACGACACAGUAUAUGCCCCCCUGGAGACCGACAACAGAACAACAGUUCCACAAGCAUGAGCACACUUGAAUUCAGGUGAGAGUGUGACCACUCCCAUUCCUGUCACGUAGAAAGAAGAAAACUCCCGUUUCGUACAGAAAUUCCAUGAGAAGCAAAAUGGCGCCACGUCGUAUUAUUUGUAUUCUUUGUUCUACGAAUCAGCAAAACCAGAUCACGACUCGGACACGAUUCACAUGGAGCACCUAUCUCACGCUUUUUCGACGCGGUAGCCAGGCUGCCUCUCUUCCUCAUCACUUAUUUAAGACGCC